AAUAUGAAAAGCGAGAAAUUUGCAUACGGUUUCGGCCCGUACCUUGGUGGUGAAAGUCCUUCUUCAUAUUA
rnacentral:tRNA from 1 species